AAUAAAAUGGCUGAGAUUUAAAGCGAUAAAUUGUAAAUUUAUUUACGAGAAAUAUUCUCUUUUAUUA
rnacentral:tRNA from 3 species